rnacentral:rRNA from 1 species
UACGUAGGGGGCAAGCGUUGUCCGGAUUUAUUGGGCGUAAAGAGCGUGUAGGCGGCCAGACAGGUCCGUUGUGAAAACUCGAGGCUCAACCUCGAGACGCCGAUGGAAACCGUCUGGCUAGAGUCCGGAAGAGGAGAGUGGAAUUCCUGGUGUAGCGGUGAAAUGCGCAGAUAUCAGGAAGAACACCAACGGCGAAGGCAGCUCGCUGGGACGGAACUGACGCUAAGGCGCGAAAGCGUGGGGAGCGAACAGG